GGGAAUUUGAACAGAAUCACUGUUUUGCGGCUGAUCACUGAGUCGGCAGCGAUUCACUGAACGAGCCGUAUAACCUCAACUCUACACUAGAUAUUAAAAUCCAAAAUAUAGUGAAAACACUAGGGGUGAUCCCGAAUAGUCGACGAUUCGAUGCUUCGAUUCGAGGAUCCUGAUUCGACUCCCAAUCUCACAGUCGAAUAAAUGAAUUAAAUCCUAUUGAUUAAAAACCUGCUAUCAAAUGUUUCAUUCUACAGAAAUGCAGAAUAUUAAUAACUGUCAUAUACAUAACGUUAUAAUGAGAGCACUAUUGUAAAAAAAUGAUGUGAAUUCUUAGGGUUUCGCCGACGUUUAAUGUUACCUGUCUUUUAAUAAAAACAUAACACAUUAUUCACUCCGUUUGUAUUUGCCAGGCGUCCGUUAACGUUACACAUCUUCCCUGUGUGUUAACGUCAGUAAUUGGGCCUAAAAUAAAGGACAAUAAUGGCAUCAGUGAUGGCAGAUCUACUACUAUCUGAAAAGUAGUCUCUGCAGAUUGUUUCAAGAUACACAAGAUGGAGCGUGGAGAGACAGGACAUGGACCACAGUUUUUCAGCACCCACACCCCACACUCAAAUUCAUAUAGAAGUUCUCAAUUAUUAAAUGUUAAUAUGAUAGUUUAUAUUUAGCUGUGAAGUUAU